GAAUUUGAUUUGAAUUUCAGGUGAACUCCAUCUGUGUGUUUGCAUAGGGAAAUCACAGCAAGACUUUCUCUUUGCCCCUGAUCCAUAGUUUUUAACAGACAACAGAUGCCAUGCCGCACGUAAAGAGUGACCAGUGAUGCAUGCUGAAGCCAGUCACAGUCAAAGAUCAUGCGGUCAAUCCAAAGAGAAAAUCAGUGCAAUGGAAGACACUGAAGUGUCAGAAAAAGGUCAGAUCAUCAUGUUAAAUCCAAUUGGCACGCUAUCAACUUGAGAGGUGUGAUCACGUUUGGCCACCAGAUGUCAGCAUAGCAAUGAAAACAUCUUUC